GCGAGACUCUGUGGGGGUAGGACCCUCUGAGCCACGUGCCGGAUAUAAUCUCGUGGUGCGCCGUUUUUUUAAGCCGUUCGGAAAAGCACAGUAUUCGGGUGGGAGUGACCCGAUUUUCCAGGUGCGUCUGUCACCCCUUUCUUUCACUCAGAAAGGGAACUCCCUGACCCCUUGCGCUUCCCAAGUGAGGCAAUGCCUCGCCCUGCUUCGGCUCGCGCACGGUGCGCGCACCCACUGACCUUCGCCCACUGUCUGCCACUCCCAAGUGAGAUGAACCCGGUACCUCAGAUGGAAAUGCAGAAAUCACCUGUCUUCUGCGUCGCUCACGCUGGGAGCUGUAGACUGGAGCUGUUCCUAUUCGGCCAUCUUGGCUCCUCUCAGAUGAUAAAAUUCAGGCCAAGAGAAGCAAAGACAGCAAAGACUGACAUAAAAAAGAAACAACAAAAACAACUCUUGUUAAUGAUGUAGAAUUAAUCUGAAUUCUCCAAAAACCUGCCUCUUUUGGAGGGAUCAUUGAAGUAGCAGUGGCAACGAUGUUAUGAAAGUUCCAUGGACGUCAGAGAUCCAGGAUCUUCUUGUUUCCUCACCACCAUCAUCAACUUCUCUGUCUUUUUUGCAUCCCACUGCUUGUAUUCAAUUUGAAAACGGUAUGUAAAGUUUGUCAAAUUCAUGUGUUUUCAGCAUGCUACUUUGUCAUCGUUUUUCAGGUUAAAAAGCCACCACAUCUACGACUGCAGUUUUCCCAGCAGAAAACAGGCUGUAUCUACAUCGCUUUCAGCUGUAACCCACUGUUAUAGUAGAUACUCAAUGGCAUGAUAGUAAGGUGUGAGGAAGAAAAAAAGUUCUACAAUGGCUUGCAUUCUUGGAAGGUAAAGGGAUAAGAAGCUGUGAAGGUUACGUAAUGGAGAUGAAAGGCAAGCUACAGGAAGUGAAAUUGGCAAUUCUUCUUGGUCCCUGUUUGGGAAAAUGUGAAUCUCAUCCUCUCAGUUUCUAGUUUGACAGACUAUAAGAGUUAGAGACGAAUGCUGAAAGACCAUGAAAAAUCUCAGAGACAAGUCAUUUCUGGGACAAUAAAUAGCGGAAGACAGCAUUUAACAAUGAAUUAAGGGAAAUUCCAUUCUUUCCUGUAUUUCAGCACUGCGGAAGUCUACGAAGCAGUUAAUGUUAAGAAAUACCAUUGACUAAAAAAAAAAAAAUGAUUUUCUGCAUUGGAUGUUAAAAGAUAUGAAGCAAGAAAUUGACCAUUCAGUGGAACAAUGUGAAUCCUAAAUUAUCUAAAUAAAAACAAGAGGAUCAGUUAAUUCAGAAAAAAGAAUUGUAUAAAUUCUGGAACUCGGUAGAUAUAUUCUCCUUAACAAAUUCUGGCAAAGAAUUCUCCCAAUCACUUAUUCAUUAGGGAUUGAGAAUUGACACUAGAAACAGAUAACUUGUGCUUAAUAUUGUGCUUAAGCUUUAAGCAUAGAAAAUUUCCUUGAUGCAAGGGGGUUACUGUGUCACCUCAAGUUAAAAGGCAAUUUAGGAAGUGAUAUGUAACUAGCAGUUUGAAAGUAUUCUAAAUAUUACUUGCUAACAAAAUUCACUCUCUACAGAAGGGACAUACCUAACAAAGAAUACAUCUUGCAGAUUGCUACAUAAAGAGUAAGUACAUUGACAAAUAUUAUGUACUUAAAAUAUAUACAGCUCUGUACUUAGCAUGCCACAUAGAAUUCCUUAAUAUUCCUCUUAACAGCUGUACAAGUUAACUUGACUUUUAUACGCAUUAUACACAUGAAAAAAAUGAGAUGAGAAAGGCCAAAUAAAAUGAAUGAAUGAAUGAAUGAGUUUUUAAAAUUUAUUUUGACAUGAGAGCCAAUCCUAUCAGCCUUGCUGAUUUCUUCAAAAUACUUGCAAAUAAGUUGCUAUAAUAUAAAAACAUCUUCUUAUUGUUUCUCUCUCCUUAAGGAUUUCUCUGAGACAUUUCUAAUAUUUAAAUCUUUUUUCCCAUAGGUUGUCUUUCACGGUACUUUGUAUACACUACUUUGGGUUCAUAUGCCUCAAGUGAAAAAUUGGUCUAAUAACAUUAAUACCUCUGUCACAACCCCAUUGCACAUGAUCAGUUCUAAUAAUGGGUUUUAAAGUAAUUUUGUUUUAUUUUAAAUUACUAUUCAGAUAUCAGUCACUAUGACAUCAGACUUUUUACUCUCUGUGAUAGUUAUAUAUCAACUUAGCUGGAGUAUAGUAUCAAGUUAUUCAAUAAAACACUAAUCUAGGUGUCACUGUGAAGGGAUUUUGUAGAUAUGAUUAACAUCUACAUUUAGUUGACACUAAGUAAAGGAGAUUUUCCUUGAUAAUGUGGUCAAGCCUCAUCCAAUCAAUUGAAAGGCCUGAGCUUUUCUAGAGGAAGAAGUAAUUUUAUCUCAGGACUCCAGCAUUAGCUACUGCUGGACAAUCCCAGCAUCCCAACCUGCCCAACAGAUUUUAGACUAGACUUACCACCUCAUAUGAGCACAUAGCAGAUUCCCAGAAAUCAAUCUAUCUACCUAUGUAUCUAUCAAUCUAUCAUCUCUCUCCUACUGCUUCUGUUUCUGUAGAUGACACUGACAGAUGUGAAUAUUCACAUAAAAGCUGUCAAUAUGCAUGUUCCUUCCUACUACUUGUACCAAUUAAGCAAAGAGUGUAACGGAUGCAUAUUUUUCUAAAGAAUUUCUGUAUGUGUUCUCCGAUUAUUGGUCAGAAAUAAAAAUAUGUUUAUAAUGCAAAAUUCAUAAAAUGUGUAUAAAUGAUAAUGUAUAUGCCUAUAUAAGUGUGUGUUUUUCUGUGUAUACAUAUAUGUAUAUAUGAGUGUGUGUGUAUGUGUGUGCAUUUUUUUGUAACUGAUACUGUGGCCUUUUAUAUCUACCAAAAUCCAGGACUAGUUUAGAAAAGAAAUUACAGCAGCAUUCUAAAAUUUACUUGUUUGAUAUAAAUAUAUUUUUGUAACUUUUUUUGCCUGACAUUUGUGCUGUAAAUCAAAAGUACUUUUGUGAAAGCAAUUUUUUUAAACAAUCUUCUCUGAAAUUGUGUAGGAGGAAGUGAAUCGCUACCACUCAAUCCUGACAUUAAUUCAACAGACACAUAUUUUGAUUUCUGAAGAAUUAUGGAAACAUUCUUUCAGAAGAGAACAAUGAAAGAUAGCAUUCUGUGUUUAGCACAUUUCCCCUUUCCAAGUGGCAGUGGAGCGUUGUAACAGCAAAGUAAAUUGCUUCUUAUUUCUAUGUGCUUUUUAAAACUGUGACACUGACUGAGCUGAACCACCAAGACCACAUCUGUACACAGCUAAAUAAAAGGUUUUACAUGAUGGCAAAACUGGGCAGAAUUAAUUUGUCCUUGGAUGUACUGAUGAUUGCAAUGCUUACACCACUGCUUUAUACACAGUAGGGUAACACUCAGAGUACUAUCAUGAAAUUCAGUUUUUAAUUUAAAAGAUUUUGAAAAAAGGACUCAUUACACAGGUAUGGCCAAGAUGAAGAGACACAGAAACGUCUGAUUGUAUACUGUAGCAUUAGUGACAGAUUGCCUGAGCAAGAAGUGAGAAAAAUAUUACUGAAGCCUCAGAGAGUUUGAAGCUUUAGAAAUAAAGCUGCCUAGCAAGAAUUGCAACCAUAGAAUAUAGUCAUUGCCCCAGAUUGAAGCAAGGCAAGGACAGGGGUUUGUUAGGAGUGAUGAAUACCUUGAUCUUUCUCUGUUCCAGCCAGCCCUCUAAUUUUCUGUGAUACUACUGGCCAAACCCAAUCAGAGGCUAAAAUUCAAGUGAUAUUGGGUGAUACGUGUGUAGGGCCAAAACUCCUUGAAAACAGAACAGGGAAGGGCUUGGAACAAUGGAGUUUCAAGGAGAGUAGCAAAUUAACAUAGUAGACAUACAAUCUAUAAGUUCGAGUUGAGGGCAGAAAUCAGUCUAGGCUGUUCAAUGGUAUGAAGUCAGGAACAAGGAUCAUACUUCUGAGCCAUAUGGAGGUAAGAUGCUAGAGGGAGAUGGUAAGUAAGCUACUAUUUUUUCCACUUAUGUAAGUAGAAA
rnacentral:lncRNA from 1 species